rnacentral:ncRNA from 2 species
CUCUUAUCGAGAGAGGUGGAGGGACUGGCCCGAUGAAACCCGGCAACCGUAAAACAUUAUGUUAAGACGGUGCUAAAUCCUGCAAAGCUAUAUAGCUUUGAAAGAUGAGAU